UACGAAGGGGGCUAGCGUUGUUCGGAAUCACUGGGCGUAAAGGGCGCGUAGGCGGGCGAGCAAGUCAGGGGUGAAAGCCCCCAGCUUAACUGGGGAAGUGCCUCUGAUACUGCUUGUCUUGAGGGAGAUAGGGGCGUGCGGAACUUCCGGUGGAGCGGUGAAAUGCGUAGAUAUCGGAAGGAACACCGGUGGCGAAAGCGGCGCGCUGGAUCUCUUCUGACGCUGAGGCGCGAAAGCCAGGGGAGCAAACGGG
rnacentral:rRNA from 1 species